GGGAACAUGGCUCGGUGGUAGAGCACUUGCCUAGCAGGCUGGAGGUUCUGGGUUUGAUCCCCAGCUUACUCC
rnacentral:tRNA from 1 species